GCCCGCUUGGCUUAGGGGUACAGCGUCGCACUCGUACUUCAACACGAUAUGCGAAGAUCCGCGGUUCGAUUCCGCGAGUGGGCA
rfam:Phaeosphaeria nodorum SN15 scaffold_12, whole genome shotgun sequence.